rnacentral:rRNA from 1 species
GACGAACGCUGGCGGCGUGCCUAAUACAUGCAAGUCGAACGCAGUGGGGACGGGUGAGUAACACGUGGGUAACCUCCAAUCAGAGGGGAUAACACUUGGAAACAGGUGCUAACACGAUACUGUUGGAUGGACCCGCGGUGCAUGCGCUAGUGGGGGAGGUAACGGCUCACCAAGGCCACGAUGCAUAGCCGACCUGAGAGGGUGAUCGGCCACACUGGGACUGAGACACGGCCCAGACUCCUACGGGAGGCAGCAGUAGGGAAUCUUCGGCAAUGGACGAAAGUCUGACCGAGCAACGCCGCGUGAGUGAAGAAGGUUUUCGGAUCGUAAAACUCUGUUGUUAGAGAAGCGGUAUCUAACCAGAAAGCCACGGCUAACUACGUGCCAGCAGCCGCGGUAAUUC